UAGAGUAUCUAAAGAAUACACAAUAUACAGAAAAUACUGUAUAUGUGGCACCCCUGGGAUGUGUGACCACAUUGAUAUAAUAAUUAUUAUUGUUUGGAGUUGGAAUAUGCCUUUGUUUUGUACAUCUGUCUAUUUUCAUUUCGUUGGCGGGGUUGAGCAGUGCAUUUGGAAGUGUGGCGGAACGUUUGUGUUCCGGGGACUGGUUAGAGGGACGGACUUCCGGUGUUUCCUCAAAAACAAUCUGGAAGGAAACCAAAUAACUCGUGUCCUCAUUGCUCCUGUCUCACCUGCUCAUUACAGGACAGCUGAUGAGCAGCAUGGAGGAGAAGAAAGAGACCCCUGGAGCUCAGCGCUGUUUUUGCAGAGGGCUGAUUCUGUGAGCUGCAGCUGUUCGCGACCCACACAUCACUACUGACAGUGUCGUCUACCUCCCAGUCAGAGCAGGACAAAAUUGAAGCUGAGCUGUCAUCCUAUUUGUUGUCGUCUGAGACAGACCCUGAUACAGACCCACUGCAGUGGUGGAAGCUACAUGAAGCUAACUUCCCAAGACUGAGUAAUCUGGCCAAGAAAUAUCUCUCCAUUCCUGCCACAAGUGCCCCUUCAGAGAGGGUUUUCAGUACGGGGGGUAACAUUGUAACAUGCCAAAGAGCAUGCCUCAAGCCAGAGGCAGUAGACAGGCUUGUCUUCCUCGCGAAAAACCUGUAGACAACUUCCUAGAAAGUUAAAGGGAUGUUAUUUUGUUUGAGGGUAUUUUUUAUUUUUUUAUUAUUCAUUUCAUUAUCAUUAUUUAUUAUUUGUUGUAUUUCAUUUUACAAGUUUUUUCAGGGAUGGCCUAAAAGAGAUUUUUUUUUCAGUUUGAUUUAAAAAAAAUCUUUGCACAUUAAUGACAGCCAAGUGCCGUGGUGCUGUUUUUAUUUUAUUAUUUUUAUUCUUGAACAACUGAUUUGUUCACAUAGGCCUAGACUACUUGGUAAUCUCAUUUAUUUGUAUUGUGUUAAUAAAGAAAAUAUGUAUUUAAA